ensembl:misc_RNA 7SK 7SK RNA
AGAUGUGAGGGCGAUCUGGCUGAGACAUCUGUCACCCCACUGAUUGUCAGGGUUGAUUUGCUGAUCUACCUGGCUAGGUGGGCGUCCCCUUCCUCCCUCACUGCUCCAUAUGUGUCCCUCCCAAAGCUGCACCUUCUGUCGAAGAGGAAAGCCUUCCCAGAAUAGAGACAAACCAAUCUUUUGUUGAGGGUAUAAGAGUAGCUUCAUUCCCCUGUCUAAGAACCUCCAAACAAGUUCUCAAACCUCUCAUUGUUAACUUGGUAUUAUAGCCUAAGCAAACUUUGUUUUAAAGUACUGAUUU